GACGAACGCUGGCGGCGUGCUUAACACAUGCAAGUCGAACGGAAAGGCCCCUUUGGGGGUACUCGAGUGGCGAACGGGUGAGUAACACGUGAGUAACCUGCCCUUGACUUCGGGAUAACUUCAGGAAACUGGGGCUAAUACCGGCUAGGAAUCCUUGCUGCAUGGUGGGGGUUGGAAAGCUUCGGCGGUUUUGGAUGGACUCGCGGCUUAUCAGCUUGUUGGUGGGGUAGUGGCUUACCAAGGCUUUGACGGGUAGCCGGCCUGAGAGGGCGACCGGCCACAUUGGGACUGAGAUCCGGCCCAGACUCCUACGGGAGGCAGCAGUGGGGAAUAUUGCACAAUGGGCGGAAGCCUGAUGCAGCAACGCCGCGUGCGGGAUGACGGCCUUCGGGUUGUAAACCGCUUUCAGCAGGGGCGAAGCUUGUGGUGACGGUACCUGCAGAAGAAGCACCGGCUAACUACGUG
rnacentral:rRNA from 1 species